GACAGAGGUGCCAAGCGUUAGGCGGAAUCACUGGGCUUAAAGCGUGUGUAGGCGGAAUGGUAAGUACCUUGUGAAAUCCCUCGGCUUAACCGGGGAACUGCGUCCGAUACUGGAUGGCUUGAGUUUGGGAGAGGGACGCGGAAUUCCAGGUGUAGCGGUGAAAUGCGUAGAUAUCUGGAGGAACACCGGUGGCGAAGGCGGCGUCCUGGACCAACACUGACACUGAGGAGCGAAAGCCAGGGGAGCAAACGGG
rnacentral:rRNA from 1 species